AUUGAACGCUGGCGGCAUGCCUUACACAUGCAAGUCGAACGCGAAAGCGGGGGCAACCCGCAAGUAGAGUGGCGAACGGGUGAGUAAUACAUCGGAACGUGUCCAGUAGCGGGGGAUAACCUCUCGAAAGAGAGGCUAAUACCGCAUACGACCUACGGGUGAAAGAGGGGGAUCGCAGGACCUCUCACUAUUGGAGCGGCCGAUGUCGGAUUAGCUAGUUGGCGGGGUAAAAGCCCACCAAGGCGACGAUCCGUAGCUGGUCUGAGAGGACGACCAGCCACACUGGAACUGAGACACGGUCCAGACUCCUACGGGAGGCAGCAGUGGGGAAUUUUGGACAAUGGGCGCAAGCCUGAUCCAGCCAUGCCGCGUGAGUGAAGAAGGCCU
rnacentral:rRNA from 1 species